AGGACGAACGCUGGCGGCGUGCUUAACACAUGCGAGUCGAACGGGGCGAUUAAAAGCUUGCUUUGAUGAGCCUAGUGGCAAACGGGUGAGUAACGCGUAGGCAACCUGCCCUCAGGAUGGGGACAACGGCCCGAAAGGACCGCUAAUACCGAAUGACGUAUCGGGAUCGCAUGAUACUGAUACCAAAGGCGGAGCAAUCCGUCACCUGAGGAUGGGCCUGCGUCUGAUUAGGUAGUUGGUGAGGUAACGGCCCACCAAGCCGACGAUCAGUAGCCGGUCUGAGAGGAUGAACGGCCACAUUGGGACUGAGACACGGCCCAGACUCCUACGGGAGGCAGCAGUGGGGAAUCUUCCGCAAUGGGCGAAAGCCUGACGGAGCAACGCCGCGUGAGUGAAGAAAGGUCUUCGGAUCGUAAAGCUCUGUUGUCGGGGACGAAGGGGCAGAUCAGGAAAUGGGUCUGCUUAGACGGUACCUGACGAGGAAGCCACGGCUAACUACGUGCCAGCCGCUGC
rnacentral:rRNA from 1 species